GCCGUCCGCCGCGCUGACCCCGGGGCUGGACACCCGACCUCCUGGGGUCCCUUCACGGCUCCCCCUCCCCGGGAGCCCCAGCCGGCAGACCUGCAGCUGGAGCGGGAAUGAGGAUCGGGCCCGGACCCCAGAGUUGGGCCCCGGCCAGGAGAGUUUUCUUUGUAGCCCUGCGGGGGGCGGGCGGUCCCAGCCCCCAGGCCCGUGACUUCGCGGUUGGGCCGGACCUGCCUGCUGAGGUGUGCCUAGCGGGACAUCCCAGCACUGUAAAAGUCCGGACGGAACACUUGCAGCUCAGUGCAGAGAGAGAAAGGUUGCAAUCAUACUCCUGCUCCGCUCUGGCUGGGAUGCUGAGAGCCAACAGGAUCGAAGUGGUUUUAACCAAAAAUGGUUCUAAUCAGCCUAACUGAAGAGAAUGGUUUGGGGAGCGUGCCUUCUUCACAGCCAGGGUUUUGUGGGCCUUCAUAAGUUCUGCAGCAGCAGAGGAAGCUGGAUCACUUAUUUCAAUACAAGUUUUACUUCUGAAAGACAUGGUCUGAAAUCUUAGAAUGGUUAAAGAGUUUUUCCGGGUAAGUGGGCGUUUGCAUUGGCCAGCCUUGGAUUCUGUGGUAGUGCCCUCAUAGGCAAUAGCAGUGAUUCUACAUGUGCCUGUGACAGACUGACAAAUUUAGUUUCCAACACCAGUUAGAUUCUUUGCUGCACCAACAAGGCAGGUUAAUAAGGUUAAAAAGUGUGCAGUGCCGCCAGGAAGGAACCCCUGUGACACCCAGGCUUUGUUAGGCUUUUUGGCCACUUCUGUUUGAAUCAUUGCAAGCCAGAACUUAUCCCUAAACCCUAUUGGUGCGUACAUUAGACUCUGGCAAGACUGGAGCCUUGUUGUUUAUUUUUGCUCUUUUUAAAAACUGUAAAUGUAGUGCGAGACCCAAGUUCGAAAUGUGAUGGCAUUAAAGUAUACAUGUCACUUUUGCUUUCCUCCUCUUUGGAUUCUAAAAGCAAUUGCAUUUCUUAAUCCAAAUAAAACCUAUUGAGUGUCAUGAAGGUAUGCAGCUGGAAGAUAUCCAUUAUCAUUGUUUUCUUUGCUGGGAUGAAAAGCCAGGGCCGUUCAGAUGCCAGAUUCUAAAACUCACUCAGCUGCAGGACACGGCUCGGAGGAGGUGCCCAGGGACGCGGGGACGGCAGCCUCUGCUGGUGGAAGUGUCUGGUGGUACACCGUCGGAGCUGACACCCGGCGAGCUGUCUUCUCUCAAGCACUGUUUACUUUUGUAGAACUCAUUGACUUUUCGGAGAGGUGGAGAUUUUUUCAACACUUCCUUUUCCUUCAAGCUUUUUCUGUCAAAACUUUAAAAACUGCAUAGAGACCAAGUGAAUGCUUAACCAACAGAAUCUCGAGAAAACAUAGCAAUGGGGCAAAGCAGAAAUCUUUUGAGAUACCCCUUUACCAAAGACAGCUUUUGUAACCAAGAAAACAUUGUCUUCUCUGCACCUUUUUUUCCCUUGUCGUCAUAAAAAGAAAAUGAAAUCUUGAAAAGGAACAUGACUCAUUUCUACGCAGCAGGGGGCAAGGCCUGAAGCAGAUGUUUGUAUUCUCGGCUUAACUCCCUGGGCUGGCUUCAGAAGUGUGGCCGAGGGGUUCUCUGGGGGCCUGCAUUCUUCCCCAGAUGAGAAAAGAACUAAAUAUAGGUGGGGCGAUAUGACUAAUCGUGUUCUGUGGAGGGACCCAACAAUGACACCUCGAUAUAAUCAAUCAGAGUAAAGCGUGACGGCGCUUUCAGAGUGGAAUUGGGAAAUGAGGCAUCGGUGGUAUGGUUGGCAGGAGGCCAAGGGCGCAAGGCCGGGUCUCAGGAGGCAGCCUUCGCCUGGGCCCAGCAGCAGAGACUGACCUGGGGGAGCCCCUACAGGGUCAGAUCGUCUGGUACAGAUCGUUGCUUAGAGCUCUCCGAUUUGGGGAUGGAUUAUUCCGGAAGGUGGAGGCAUAGGACUACAAGGUUAGCCUGGGAGUGUGUUGUCACCCUGAAGUGACCAGGGUGUUGGGCUCUGGGAGUUUUCUGGUUGCAUUCACCCAGCUUGCUGUCCACUCAGCGACUCCUGGGUGAGGCUGCCACUUGCCAGGGAUCUCUGCCUGCCAGGGGCUCGGGCAACUGGGAGGGCAGUCCUGAG
rnacentral:lncRNA from 1 species